rnacentral:misc_RNA from 1 species
UUCUAUGGGACUUUAACUCUGGGGAAUGGCGUAAAUAUUACUGGAUUUAGCUUGUUUCCAGUGAAAACCAUAAUCAAGAAUUUACCAGUGGUUUACAACGAAAGUAUAUCACCUUGUGAUUCAUCUGAUGUAUUAGCCCAAGUCCCUAAUGCUGGACGUAGCAUUAUGAUUUGUGAUAGUAAUGCAGUAGAAGUAGAGGACCAAAUGGCGGCUAUCUCAGAGUCAAAAUUUGGAGGAGCCAUCUAUAUUUCUGAUGAUCCAGAUGUAUUGUCAUCCAAUUUUUUUCCAAAUCCUGGAGUUGUGAUUAGCACCAAGGAAGGGAAACAAGUGAUUGACUAUGCAACCAAAAAUGCUGAACCAAAAGUCAGCAUCAGUUUCCAGGGAACACGUAUUGGUGUAAAGCCUGCUCCAGUUGUUUCUGCAUUUUCGUCGAGAGGCCCCUCUCUAAGCUAUCUGCAAGUAGCAAAGCCAGAUAUUAUGGCACCAGGAGAGUUAAUUCUAUCAGCCUGGCCAUCAAAUAAUUCAGAUACAGUUAUUGGUGUCAAUACAUUUUUGGGUAGUGAUUACCGUCUUGUAUCAGGUACUUCCAUGGCUGCUCCUCACAUUGCUGGAAUCGCUGCAAUGCUUAAAGGAGCACAUCCUGAUUGGAGUCCUUCA